rnacentral:rRNA from 1 species
AGUGAACGCUGGCGGUAGGCCUAACACAUGCAAGUCGAACGGCAGCACAGUAAGAGCUUGCUCUUACGGGUGGCGAGUGGCGGACGGGUGAGGAAUACAUCGGAAUCUACUUUUUCGUGGGGGAUAACGUAGGGAAACUUACGCUAAUACCGCAUACGACCUACGGGUGAAAGCAGGGGAUCUUCGGACCUUGCGCGAUUGAUUGAGCCGAUGUCGGAUUAGCUAGUUGGCGGGGUAAAGGCCCACCAAGGCGACGAUCCGUAGCUGGUCUGAGAGGAUGAUCAGCCACACUGGAACUGAGACACGGUCCAGACUCCUACGGGAGGCAGCAGUGGGGAAUAUUGGACAAUGGGCGCAAGCAUGAUCCAGCCAUACCGCGUGGGUGAAGAAGGCCUUCGGGUUGUAAAGCCCUUUUGUUGGGAAAGAAAAGCAGCAGGUUAAUACCCCGCUGUUCUGACGGUACCCAAAGAAUAAGCACCGGCUAACUUCGUG